ACUCAGGCCAAAUACACACCUCCAGACUGUGUGAACACUCACGAUUUAACGAUUCGGACCACAACACGCUUGGUCUAUAACCACAAACACCGUGUUUAGCACCUCAUUAUCACGGAGCGAUCAGAAUUGAUCGCUGCAGCUGACCGGCUGACAGAUGAAGGGAGCCUCCAGCAACCACGACACGGCGCAGCAUCACUUUUAACACGUUAAAAGUGACACAUUAACCGCUAAUCUCAGUUUACGAACCCCCCGGUGCCAGAAUUGCCGGGAAGCAGCUCACUUCCCUCCCAGUGUUGGCGGAAUGAAACAAAGGUUAACGCGACGGAAGCGCGGAGCUUUCGCCGAGCUGAUUUUACGCCCACAGACGGCCUUUAAAGUGUCGCUGCCUCCUGAUAAAUGUUGAGUCCAGCGUCACUGCGGUGACACGUCAGGCUGAGAGCAGGUUUGACAGAACUGAUCACGUCGGGGUUGUGGAUGCUGCUCGUGUCUGCUGCUGAGGUCCAACACGUCCGGCUGGGUUCAGCAGCCAGUGUGGGCUGUAACCUCUCCUAUCUUUACGACACGACGUGGCUUAAGCACCAUCCAGAUCAGCCACCCACCGUGAUCUUCUCCGCCAGCCUCAGAGAGGGACGACCCAUCCAAGGCUUUCAGCUCAACGGUCGUUACACGGUGAACUUGGUGAACCGGUCUCUGGUACUGCUGAUCUCUGGGGUUGAGGAGAGAGACCUGGGCCUGUACUACUGCAUUUCCUACGUAAACUCAGAUUUAAAGAUCGGGGAAGGAACCGAUCUUCAGGUUUCAGAUUUAUCUCAGUCUCUUUUUAACCGGCUGUACUGCGCGGUCGUGGGUUUCAGCUUGGUGAUUAUGGUUCUGGCUGUUUGUGUCACCCACUGGAAAACUCGGUCCAAGAAGACAAAGAAGACCGCCAGCAGGACCAGAUACUGACCUCACCCACAAAGACUACACCAGACUCAAACAGUACCUCUGAUGGCAGCAGCAGACGUUUUACAUCCACUGUUACAUCCACUACAUGGAUUCAUUGUUUCCAUGUUGCAUUUCUGUAAAUUCAAUCUCCACAUCUGUGCUUAUGUUUUGUGUAUAAAGUACAGCCUCUCUUUGUUUUUCUGUUUAGAUUUUUAUUUAUUGCAUUCUUAUGUUGCUCCGCUAAAUG